CAGCCGUAAACUAUGCUCGCUAGGUGUCAGGCAUGGCGCGACCGUGUCUGGUGCCGCAGGGAAGCCGUGAAGCGAGCCACCUGGGAAGUACGGCCGCAAGGCUGAAACUUAAAGGAAUUGGCGGGGGGAGCACAACAACGGGUGGAGCCUGCGGUUUAAUUGGACUCAACGCCGGGAAGCUCACCGGAUAAGACAGCGGAAUGAUUGCCGGGCUGAAGACUCUGCAUGACUAGCUGAGAGGAGGUGCAUGGCGUAGACGUCU
rnacentral:rRNA from 1 species